ACCCGGGAAAGCAGAAAAGUACAUCCAUUUCCCCCAGAAGCCUUCGUAAGAGAGUCAGACUCCCUGUGCUGCACACAUCACCGUGUGGACCCACCGAGAAGACAUCUGAAUUCAGUCAGUUGAUCAAUCUUCCCCAAAGCUGCAUGGCGGGUACGCCUUCUCUCCCGGGAGCAGAGCGAGGGGCAGGAGAGGACACCGGGCGGCGGACACGGAGGGCAGAAAUCACACUCCAGCUGCGAGAUUUGACACAGGUUUUCGGACUCCGGCGACGAACAAGACGCUUCGCGGCCCCUGCACCUCGCACCCGUGUAGGCGCGGGCGCGCUGGGCAACUUAAGAACAAACACAGUCGUCUGGAUGGGGGCAGGAGCGGUUCCGAGGUCUUCCCAGCGAGGACCGGGGUCUGCGGCGCCGACUCGGAAGGGGUGGGGGCUGGGGCUCCCCUGACUCGUCCCACGGGCACUGAUCGCAGACCUUCGCCCGUGGACCGCCCUGCUUUCCUCCUUGCGACCCCCCAGCG